AUCUAUCUAUCUAGAUUAUAUCUAUCUAUAUUCUAUCUAUCUAUCUAUAUUCUAUCUAUCUAUCUAUAUUCUAUCUAUCUAUCUAUCUAUAUUCUAUAUAUCUACAGUGCAUUCGGAAAGUAUUCAGAUCCCUUUACCUUUUUCACAUUUCUUACAUUACAGCUUCAUUUUAAAAUGGAUUUAAAACAAAUAAUCCUCAUCAAUCUACACACAACAGCCAAUAAUGACAAAGCGAAAACAGAUUAUUAGAAUGUAAAUACCUUAUUUACAUAAGUAUUCAGACCCUUUGCUAUGAGACUCAAAAUUGAGAUCAGGUGCAUCCUGUUUCCAUUGAUCAUCUUUGAUGUUUCUACAAUUUGAUUGGAGUCCAUCUGUGGUACAUUUAAUUGAUUGGACAUGAUUUGGAAAGGCACACACCUGUCUAUAUAAGGUCCUACAGUUGACAGUGCAUGUCAGAGCAAAAAAAACAAGCCGUGAGGUUGAAGGAUUUGUCUGUAGAGCUCCGAGACAGGAUUGUGUUGAGGCACAGAUCUGGGGAAUGGUACCAAACAUUUCUGCAGCAUUGAAGGUCCCCAAGAACACAGUGGCCUCCAUCAUUCUUAAAUGGAAAAAGUUUAGAACCACCAAGACUCUUCCUAGAGCUGUCCGCCCGGCCAAACUGAGCAAUCGGAGGAGAAGGGCCUUGGUCAGGGAGGUGACCAAGAACCCGAUGGCCACUCUGACAGAGCUGCAGAGUUCCUCUGUGGAGAUGGGAGAAUCUUCCAGAGGGACUACCAUCUCUGCAGCAUUCCACCAAUCAGGCCUUCAUGGUAGAGUGGCCAGAUGGAAGCCGCUCCUCAGUAAAAGACACGACAGACUGCUCGGAGUUAGCCAAAAGGCACCUAAAGGACUCUCAGACAUUGAAAAACAAGAUUCUCUGGUCUGAUGAAACUAAGAUUGAACUCUUUGGCCUCAAUGCCAAGCGCCACGCCUGGAGGAAACCUGGCACCAUCCCCACGGUAAAGCAUGGGAGACUAGUCAGAAUCGAGGGAAAGAUGAACAGAGCAAAUUACAGAGAGAUCCUUGAUGGAAACCUGCUCCAGAGCGCUCAGGACCUCAGACUGGGGUGAAGAUUCACUUUCCAACAGGACACCAACCCCUAAGCAAACAGCCAAGACAACGCAGGAGUGUCUUCAGGACAAGUCUCUGAAUGUCCUUGAGUGGCCCAGCCAGAGCCCGGACUUGAACCCGAUCGAACAUCUCUGGAUAGACCUGAAAAUAGCUGUGCAGCUUGAGAGGAUCUGCAGCGAUUAAUGGGAGAAACUCUCCAAAUACAGGUGUGCCAAACUUGUAGCGUCAUACCCAAAAAGACUCAAGGUUGUAAUCGCUGCCAAAGGUGCUUCAACAAAGUACUGAGUAAAGGGUCUGAAUACUUAUGUAAAUUUAAUAUUUAUGUUUUGUUUUUUUUGACAUUUGCAAAAAUUUAUAAAAACCUGUUUUUGCUUUGGCAUUAUGGGGUAUUGUUUCUAGAUUGAUGAGGGGGAAAAACUAUGUAAUACAUUUUAGAAUAAGGCUGUAAUGUAACAAAAUGUGUAAAAAAUGAAGGGGUCUGAAUACUUUCUGAAUGCACUGUAUCUAUAUAUCUAUAUAUCUAUCUAACUAUAUUCUAUCUAUCUAUAUAUCUAUCUAUAUUCUAUCUAUCUAUAUAUCUAUCUAUAUUCUAUCCAUCUAUCUAUCUAUAUUAUAUAUGUUUUCUAUCCAUCUAUCUAUCUAUAUUAUAUCUAUCUAUAAUCUAUCUAUAUUCUGUCUAUCUAUCUAUCUAUAUUCUGUCUAUCUAUCUAUCUAUAUUCUCUCCAUCUAUAUAUCUAUAUUAUAUCUAUCUAUCUAUAUUCUAUCUAUAUUCUAUCUAUAUUAUAUCUAUCUAUCUGUCUGUUGCUAGAUCUGUGGUUAUUUCAGUAGUGUCACUAAUGGGAAGCGAAUACACUGAUACACUGGAAACAGUUGCUACUGUACACACACACACACACACACACACACACACACACACACACACACACACACACACACACACACACACACACACACACACACACACACACACACACACACACACACACACACACACACACACACACACACACAGUACAUCAGUACUCAGUCUAAUGUACACUCCAACACUCUACUCAAUCCGACCGACACACACUUCAAGACUCAAUCUGAUGCACACGCCAUCUCCCACUCGACCUAAAUCUCCGUAGCCACUGACCUAGGCUUCUUCAACUUUAAUCACAGUCAUCAUCCAAAGAGGUACAAGGUUAAAUACACUAUACUAGUUAUGAGAAGGAAGCAUGGUUAAAUAUACUAAUUGAUCUUCGAGGAGUGGCAAGGUCCCAUAAAAAAAACAUACGAAGCAUCAUCAAAUUUGACAGUGAGUGCACUAAAACGUAAUUCCACCCUAAUUCCAUUCAGAGUCAAUGGAAACGAGCUAAGUGGCUACGCGGCAACGCUAGCGGGCAAAGACAGACUACAGCCAGAAGAAUGGCAUUUUCUUAUCAUCAAAGACAGUGACAGGAAAAUGAAAUAGUUUCUACUGAAAUUCUGUGGCCCUUUGAAAUGUUUGAUGUGCCCUUUUGUGUGUGUGUGUUCCAUUGUCUGCUGUUUCUGCAAGGAGAAGCAGAUUUUACAUAAGCCCCUCUAGCUCUUUAUAAAAAGUCCUUACCCAGUACUCUAUGCCUGUCUUAGUGUUUUUUACACGGAGAACAAUAGGUUUAGUCAUGUCUUAGAGGACAUAGGGGAUGGGAAGGAGGAGAGAGUGUGUGUGUACAUUUCCCUACUAUAUAUUAACCAUACUGUAUUAAGAUACUGUUUAUCAAGACUUCAUGUUACACAAUAUUACAGGCUGCAUUUACACAGGCAGCCCAAUUCUGAUCUUUUGACCAAUCAGAUCAGCUCUUUUGGGCAAAAGAUUAGAAUUGGGCUGCCUGUGUAAACGCAGCCAUAGACACACACAUUCAAGGUCCCAUACAUCAGAUACUAAUGUCUUUGACUUUGUGGUCGUGAUUUAAACAGAGGCACAAACACAUUACUCCAACAACUAACCCCCUCCACACAGUCUUCUAAAUGUUGUCACAGUACCAGUAUCGCAAUACUACCACACCUGAUUGUCCAUGGCAGGAAGGAAAACAGAAAGCAGACUAAACUCUUUGCUCCUGUAAAAUAUAGUGUGCUAUAACAUGGAAUAGAAACAUGUGACUCUGGGUGACAUCGUAAGGCUGUAAAAUAUAGUGUGCUAUAGCUUGGAAUAGAAACAUGUGACUCUGGGUGACAUCGUAAGGCUGUUUGUUUCCAACAUGAGAAACUUACAUUUGUUUUACCAAAUUUCUAUCCGCAUGUUAAAUGUGCAACCAGAGGGAAAACAACUCUAGACCACCUUUACUCCACACACAGGGACGCGUACAAAGCUCUCCCUCGCCCUCCAUUUGGCAAAUCUGACAAUAAUUCUAUCCUGCUGAUUCCUGCUUACAAGCAAAAAUUAAAGCAGGAAGCACCAGUGACUCUGUCAAUAAAAAAAUGGUCAGAUCGUCCCCACAGUGACCGCGUAAAUACCCCAACCAGAAGCCAUGGAUUACAGUCAACAUCCGCACUGAGCUAAAGGCUAGAGCUGCCGCUUUCAAGGAGCGGGACUCUAACCCAGACGCUUAUAAGAAAUCCCGCUAUGCCCUCCGAUGAACCAUCAAAUAAGCAAAGUGUCAAUACAGGACUAAGAUCGACUCGUACUACACCGGCUCCGACGCCCGUCGGAUGUGGCGAGGCUUGAAAACCUAUUCCCCCUCGGGAGACUGAAAAGAUUUGGCAUGGGUCCUCAGAUCCUCAAAAGGUUCUACAGCUGCAUCAUCGAGAGCAUCCUGACUGGUUGCAUCACUGCCUGGUAUAGCAACUGCUCGGCCUCCGACCACAAGGCACUACAGAGGUAGUGCGUACGGCCCAGUACAUCACUGGGGCCAAGCUUCCUGCCAUCCAGGACCUAUAUACCAGGCGGUGUCAGAGGAAGGCCCUAAAAAUUGUCAAAGACUCCACCCACCCCAGUCAUAGACUGUUCUCUCUGCUACCGCACGGCAAGCGGUACCGGAGCGCCAAGUCUAGGUCCAAGAGGCUUCUAAACAGCUUCUAUCCCCAAUCCAUAAGACUCCUGCCACUGCUACUCUCUGUUAUUAUCUAUGCAUAGUCACUUUAAUAACUCUACCUGCAUGUACAUAUGGGGCGGCAGGUAGCCUAGUGGUUAGAGCGUUGGACUUGUAACCCCGAGCUGACAAGGUAAAAAAAUCUAAAUAAAUAAUAAUCUGUCGUUCUGCCCCUGAACAAGGCAGUUAACCCACUGUUCCCCUGAACAAGGCAGUUAACCCACUGUUCCCCUGAACAAGGCAGUUAACCCACUGUUCCCCUGAACAAGGCAGUUAACCCACUGUUCCCCUGAACAAGGCAGUUAACCCACUGUUCCCCUGAACAAGGCAGUUAACCCACUGUUCCCCUGAACAAGGCAGUUAACCCACUGUUCCCCUGAACAAGGCAGUUAACCCACUGUUCCCCUGAACAAGGCAGUUAACCCACUGUUCCCCUGAACAAGGCAGUUAACCCACUGUUCCCCUGAACAAGGCAGUUAACCCACUGUUCCGAGGCCGUCAUUGUAAAUAACAAUGUGUUUUUAACUGACUUGCCUAGUUAAAUAAAGACAAGAGAAACAAUUACCUUGACUAACCAGUGCCCCCGCCGCACACUGCUCUUUAACUACUUGUAACUUCUAUUUCUUAUUCUUAUUCAUAUUUUUUAAACUGCAUUGUUGGUUAGGGGAUUGUAAGUAAGCGUUUCACUGUUGUAUUCGGCGCAUGUGACUAAUAAAAUUUGAUUUGGUUUGAA